GAUGAACGCUGGCGGCGUGCCUAAUACAUGCAAGUCGAGCGAACGGACGAGAAGCUUGCUUCUCUGAUGUUAGCGGCGGACGGGUGAGUAACACGUGGAUAACCUACCUAUAAGACUGGGAUAACUUCGGGAAACCGGAGCUAAUACCGGAUGAUAUUUUGAACCGCAUGGUUCAAAAGUGAAAGACGGUCUUGCUGUCACUUAUAGAUGGAUCCGCGCUGCAUUAGCUAGUUGGUAAGGUAACGGCUUACCAAGGCAACGAUGCAUAGCCGACCUGAGAGGGUGAUCGGCCACACUGGAACUGAGACACGGUCCAGACUCCUACGGGAGGCAGCAGUAGGGAAUCUUCCGCAAUGGGCGAAAGCCUGACGGAGCAACGCCGCGUGAGUGAUGAAGGUCUUCGGAUCGUAAAACUCUGUUAUUAGGGAAGAACAUAUGUGUAAGUAACUGUGCACAUCUUUACGGUACCUAAUCAGAAAGCCACGGCUAACUACGUG
rnacentral:rRNA from 1 species